GCCGGCGUAGCUCAGCUGGUAGAGCAGCGGAUUCGUAAUCCGCAGGUCAGGGGUUCAAGUCCCCUCGCCGGCU
rnacentral:tRNA from 2 species